ensembl:lncRNA
CCAGGAGGACAUUGAUCAAGCUCCAGAGGAGACCAGGAGUGAGUAUGAUCCAUAACUUGCAACACAGAUAAACAGAAGUAUAUCUAGUCCAUCUCCAGCAUAGAUGAUCUGUUUAGAGACAGAAGCAUGUUACAUUAUGUAUCUUUAUUCCAGAGCUGUAUAAAGAGUACCGCAGUUUGAAACAAGCCAAAGAAAACAGCAGCAGUGAUGCAGCCAGCGGACAUGCUGAACAGCCCAGAUCUACAGCUGAGGUCAUAACAGUCCAGAAGGUACUAAAGAAAGUGUGUUUGUGACUGUGUUUUCUUUGUAGAAAAAAACCCAUAGACAAGUAAAGCUAUUUGUUGCCUAUGCAUGUGUCUAUCUGCUUUGAUUGAUCUAUGUAGGACGGGGACUGUUGGGGGUGCCCAUCUAAACCGCAGUUCACAGCCGGCAUCUUCUCCCAGACUGACAUCAGAGGAAAAAGACAGUCUUAAGGCCUCUGCCCAAUACUAUGGACUAAAGCUUAAAAACAACCUGGUGACACUCAGUAAGGAAAGACCUGUCUCACUGAGGAAAUCAGUCCUUCCCGGUCGAUUGCCUCUAAACUCCUUGAAAGAUCGACAAACUGGACAGACAAACAGCCCUGUUGCUGCCACUGUCAAAACCACUUUCACUGACCCUGAAUCCAGCCCUUUUACACCAAGAAAAUUUAAGACUUGCCUGGGAUCCCUGGCUUCAAAGACACCUCAGAAAGUGGAGCCUGAAGAGCCGUUUGAACCAUUUGAACCUGUCAGAGAGUCUUGUGAAGAGCCUGCAAGUGCUGCCAGUAGUUGUAGUAGUACUAGUAAAGUUAUUAGUUCAGAAAAUCAAAAUGUCUCAAGUGUAGCUCCCUCUCCAGCCAGAUCUUCUGCAUCAUUAUCUUCUCCAUGUAGUGUAGUAGGAACUUCAAGAGGAGGUGUAGGAGCCACAGGAAAGUUAAAUGAAAGUAUAGGAGCUUCAGGAGACAGAAAACAACAUGUUGAAAUUUUAGUAACUCCACAUAAGGGUAUUAGUGAUGCAGAUGUUGGAACUUUGAUUAGCUUGAGAGGAAGCCCUCGGGUUCUUGGAGGUUUCAGAGGAGGAAUGGGAAGUAGAGGCAUUGGAGUAAGGGCUUCCCCUGCCAGCAGACUGAGUUUUGUCGACAAGAACUGGCUAGAGAGGUGUCAGGUGUUUGGAGAGAUGGGGGCUGAGGUGAAGCCUGGAGCAGGCAACCAGGAGAUAAAUCUGGAGAAAGAGGGAGAAAGAGGAAGAGAAACGGAAGGGAAAAUACAAAGAGAUGAAAAAGAAGAAAUAGAUGCAGAGGGAGAAAGCAGAGAGGCAAUAGACUUGGGAAGAGAUACAGGGCUUAAGAGCAUUACAAGUGACAAAACAGUCAGUGAUAGUGCACCGAAACCUUCUCUACAACACACUGGAAAAAGCAGCGGAGGAGGGAAAGAAAAAGCGAAAAGGAAGGAAGGUGAGGAGAUGGAAAGAGGACUGUCGCCACCUUUAACGCCAGAAGACGACACAGAGACCAGUCACAAAUCCAAAGGUACAAAGAAGAAAGGGAGGAAAAGGCAGAGGGAGGAAGAGAACGUGCAGGGAGAGACAGAGGAGGGAGGAGUGAAGAAGAGACGUAGGAAUGGCAAAAAGAAAGAGGAGAGCUCUGAUGUAAACCCCAGCCCAGCUCAAGUAGGAGGGAAGAAAAGGAGAACCAAGAAAAAGGGAGAUGCAGACGCAGAAGAAGAGAAAGAAACCAAGGAACCCAAAAAGGUAAGUCAGUUAAUUUGUCUUCAUCACCACAUACUGUGCAUACUGUUCAAAUUAGUGAAACAUAGUAUUAUUUCUGUCAAGGUCCCUCAGGAGAACUUGUUUGGUGAAAUAGAGGAGGAAUUGGCAGCCAAGAGAAUGUAUCACAGUCAGCCUGUCAGAGCCAGGUAAGACGACACAUGUCCUACUGUGUUGAAACAUUUCUAUUUGUAUUCUGUGUACAAACACGUCUUUAUUUGUACAGAGGCAUGAAAGCCACAGAGGGUAACUUUGUGAAGAUAAAUCUGAAGAAGAAGUCUCAUGUCAAAGGAUACGCACUCAGAGGUGCUGGUCUACGCAAACAGGUAUGCUUUGUGUAAGUGGCACUGAUGUGUCUGGGACUGAUCGCUAGUGUUU